rnacentral:rRNA from 1 species
AACGAACGCUGGCGGCAUGCCUAACACAUGCAAGUCGAACGAGACCUUCGGGUCCAGGGGCGCACGGGUGCGUAACGCGUGGGAACCUUCACAUAGGUUCGGAAUAACUCUCCGACUGGGGUGCUAACACCGGAUCAUAUCUUCUGACCGAAGAUUUAUCGCCUUUGGAUGGUCCCGCGUUGGAUUGGCUAGUUGGUAGAGUAAAAGCCUAACCAGGAGACGAUACACAGCUUGUCUGAGAGGAUGAUCAGCCACACGGGGACUGAGACACGGCCCAGACUCCUACGGGAGGCAGGAGUGGCGAAGAAUGGACGCUGGGGGAAAGACUGAUCCAGGAAUGCAGAGUGAGGUAUGAAGGCAAGAGGGUUGUAGUGCUCUUUUACCCAGGAUGAGAAGGUAAGUACUGAGAGAACAAGCUCCGGCUAACUC